rnacentral:rRNA from 1 species
GAUGAACGCUGGCGGCGUGCUUAACACAUGCAAGUCGAGCGGAGCUUAUUAGUGAAUCCCUUUCGGGGGUGAAGCUUUUAAGUUUAGCGGCGGACGGGUGCGUAACGCGUGGGUAAUCUGCCCUUGUCACUGGGAUAACACAUCGAAAGGUGUGCUAAUACCGGAUAAAAUACAGACUCGGCAUCGAGAUUGUAUCAAAGUCAUGCGGACAAGGAUGAGCCUGCGUCUGAUUAGCUAGUUGGUGGGGUAAAAGCCUACCAAGGCCACGAUCAGUAGCCGACCUGAGAGGGUGAUCGGCCACACUGGAACUGAGACACGGUCCAGACUCCUACGGGAGGCAGCAGUGGGGAAUAUUGCACAAUGGGCGAAAGCCUGAUGCAGCAACGCCGCGUGAGUGAUGAAGGUUUUCGGAUCGU